GGAAACUUGGAAACUACCGUUGGAUCAAGAAAUGGACGUCCGAGAUUCGUCCACGCCACCAUGAGUUAAAAUUUAACUCGCAGAUUCACUCAUGAGUUAAAAUUUUACUGGGAGUUAAAUUUUAACUCAUGGUGAUGUGGACGAAUCUCGGACAUCCAUUUCUCGAUCCAACAGUAGUUUUCAAGUUUCC
rnacentral:pre_miRNA from 1 species